rnacentral:rRNA from 1 species
GGUUUGAUCCUGGCUCAGAUUGAACGCUGGCGGGAUGCUUUACACAUGCAAGUCGAACGGCAGCACGGACUUCGGUCUGGUGGCGAUGUGGCGAACGGGUGAGUAAUGUAUCGGAACGUGCCUAGUAGCGGGGGAUAACUACGCGAAAGCGUAGCUAAUACGCCGCCCCUUCGGGGAAAAGCGGGGACCUUCGGGCCUCGCACUAUUAGAGCGGCCGAUAUCGGAUUAGCUAGUUGGUGGGGUAACGGCUCGCAAGGCGACGAUCCGUAGCUGGUUUGAGAGGACGACCAGCCACACUGGGACUGAGACACGGCCGGAGCUCCACCACAGGAGGCAGCAGUGUGGAAUUUUGGACGUGGGGAAACCUGAUCCAGCCAUCCCGCGUGUGCGAUGAAGGCCUUCGGGUUGUAAAGCACUUUUGGCAGGAAAGAAACGGCACGGGAUAAUACCCCGUGCAACUGACGGUACCUGCAGAAUAAGCACCGGCUAACUACGUGCCAACAGCCCGCGGUAAUACGUAGGGUGCAAGCGUUAAUCGGAAUUACUGGGAGUAAAGCGUGCGCGAGCGGUUCGGAAGAAGAUGUGAAAUCCCAGAGCUUAACUUUGGAACUGCAUUUUUAACUACCGAGCUAGAGUGUCAGAGGGAGGUGGAAUUCCGCGUCUUGGCAGUGAAAUGCGUAGAUAUGCGGAGAACACCGAUGGCGAAGGCAGCCUCCUGGGAUAACACUGACGCUCAUGCACGAAAAGCGUGGGGAGCAAACAGGAUUAGAUGCCCUGGUAGUCCAUACAAACGAUGUCAACUAGCUGUUGGGGCCUUCGGGCCUUGGUAGCGCAGCUAACGCGUGAAGUUGACCGCCUGGGAAGUACGGUCGCAAGAUUAAAACUCAAAGGAAUUGACGGGGACCCGCACAAGCGGUGGAUGAUGUGGAUUAAUUCGAUGCAACGCGAAAAACCUUACCACCCAUGACAUGUCUGGAAUCCCGAAGAGAUUUGGGAGUGCUCGCAAAGAGAACCGGAACACAGGUGCUGCAUGGCUGUCGUCAGCUCGUGUCGUGAGAUGUUGGGUUAAGUCCCGCAACGAGCGCAACCCUUGUCAUUAGUUGCUGAAAGGGCACUCUAAUGAGACUGCCGGUGACAAACCGGAGGAAGGUGGGGAUGACGUCAAGUCCUCAUGGCCCUUAUGGGUAGGGCUUCACACGUCAUACAAUGGUCGAGACAGAGGGUCGCCAACCCGCGAGGGGAGCCAAUCCCGAAACCCGAUCGUAGUCCGGAUCGCAGUCUGCAACUCGACUGCGUGAAGUCGGAAUCGCUAGUAAUCGCGGAUCAGCAUGUCGCGGUGAAUACGUUCCCGGGUCUUGUACACACCGCCCGUCACACCAUGGGAGUGGGUUUUACCAGAAGCAGUAGCCUAACCGUAAGGAGGCGAUUACCACGGUAGGAUUCAUGACUGGGGUGAAGUGUAACAAGGUAA